ACUCCUACGGGAGGCAGCAGUGGGGAAUAUUGCACAAUGGGCGCAAGCCUGAUGCAGCCAUGCCGCGUGUAUGAAGAAGGCCUUCGGGUUGUAAAGUACUUUCAGCAGUGAGGAAGGUGGGUAUGUUAAUAGCAUACUCAUUUGUACGUUAGCUGCAGAAGAAGCACCGGCUAACUCCGUGCCAGCAGCCGCGGUAAUACGGAGGGUGCGAGCGUUAAUCGGAAUUACUGGGCGUAAAGCGCAUGCAGGUGGUUGUUAAGUCAGAUGUGAAAGCCCGGGCGUCAACCUCGGAAUUGCAUUUGAAACUGGCAAACUAGAGUACUGUAGAGGGGGUAGAAUUUCAGGUGUAG
rnacentral:rRNA from 1 species